CUUUUGUGUCCACUCCCAUAGCUGUGUGACGAAGUCGAUGAAGUCAGAUGUAUAUAAUGCACGGCGGUGGCAGACCCUAGCGCGGCUUGGGCAAGGGCACAACUGGUGACAACCGUGGGUGGGUGGACAAUGGAGGCUGUUGACCAUCAGCAGGAAAACAACCCUAGCCUUUCUUUGAUGUUCUUGAUUGAGACGAUCAAGGAGGACCAGUGAUACGUACCUAGGCAAUCCCAUCUAAGGGAACUCAUCUACAGUUUUUAUACCAGUCAUUUCAUAUGGAUACUUCAAUGAGGAAGUAAUAUUUGGGAUUCCAAAUGUCAAUUGGUUUGCUGUAGAGGG